UACGAAGGGGCUAGCGUUGCUCGGAAUCACUGGGCGUAAAGCGCACGUAGGCGGUACUCUUAAGUCGGUGGUGAAAUCCUGGAGCUCAACUCCAGAACUGCCGUUCGAUACUGGGAGUCUCGAGUCCGGGAGGAGGUGAGUGGAACUGCGAGUGUAGAGGUGAAAUUCGUAGAUAUUCGCAAAGAACACCAGUGGCGGAAGGCGGACUCACUGGCUCGGUACUGACGCUGAGGUGGCGAAAAGCGUGGGGAGCAAACAGG
rnacentral:rRNA from 1 species